GGCCUACACAUGCAAGUCGAGCGGUAACAGAUCCAGCUUGCUGGAUGCUGACGAGCGGCGGACGGGUGAGUAAUGCAUAGGAAUCUGCCCGAUAGUGGGGGAUAACCUGGGGAAACCCAGGCUAAUACCGCAUACGUCCUACGGGAGAAAGGGGGCUCCGGCUCCCGCUAUGGGAUGAGCCUAUGUCGGAUUAGCUAGUUGGUGAGGUAACGGCUCACCAAGGCCACGAUCCGUAGCUGGUCUGAGAGGAUGAUCAGCCACAUCGGGACUGAGACACGGCCCGAACUCCUACGGGAGGCAGCAGUGGGGAAUAUUGGACAAUGGGGGAAACCCUGAUCCAGCCAUGCCGCGUGUGUGAAGAAGGCCCUCGGGUUGUAAAGCACUUUCAGCGAGGAAGAACGCCUAGCGGUUAAUACCCGCUAGGAAAGACAUCACUCGCAGAAGAAGCACCGGCUAACUCCGUGCCAGCAGCCGCGGUAAUACGGAGGGUGCAAGCGUUAAUCGGAAUUACUGGGCGUAAAGCGCGCGUAGGUGGCUUGAUAAGCCGGUUGUGAAAGCCCCGGGCUCAACCUGGGAACGGCAUCCGGAACUGUCAAGCUAGAGUGCAGGAGAGGAAGGUAGAAUUCCCGGUGUAGCGGUGAAAUGCGUAGAGAUCGGGAGGAAUACCAGUGGCGAAGGCGGCCUUCUGGACUGACACUGACACUGAGGUGCGAAAGCGUGGGUAGCAAACAGGAUUAGAUACCCUGGUAGUCCACGCCGUAAACGAUGUCGACCAGCCGUUGGGUGCCUAGCGCACUUUGUGGCGAAGUUAACGCGAUAAGUCGACCGCCUGGGGAGUACGGCCGCAGGUUAAAACUCAAAUGAAUUGACGGGGGCCCGCACAAGCGGUGGAGCAUGUGGUUUAAAUUCGAUGCAACGCCGAAGAACCUU
rnacentral:rRNA from 1 species